AUGAGGAAGGUGGGCGGCGGGAGGGGACCGCUCGCACCCGGGGAAGGAGGACACUUUGCAACUACAGACGGCCUCCCGCAAGGCCGGGCUGGUCCCAGCCGGGGGACGAGGCUGUCGGGAGGGGAACGGGAGAAGCAAGCAAAAAAAAAAGAAAAAAGAAAAAAUGACAAGCCGGAGCGCAGAGCGGAGUUUGGGGCUGUGCUCCAGCGCGCCGCUGCUCUCUCCCCUCCGCGCUUGUCUUUGGCUUCUCCCCCUCCUCAAGCCUCCCACGCCCGGGCAGGCUGCAGCUUCCCCCCUCCUUUUUCACCCCCUCGAAGCUGGAAAAAAAAAAAAAAAAAGCAGCAGCCCGGGGCACUCAACCUGCGGGCCGGAGGUCUGCUCGCCGGGCGGGCUGGGCGCGGGGACAGCGGCCGGCGCGGCGUCCUACCUGGUGAAGUUGGGGCUCCCCUCGGGGUGGGCCCGGGCCGCGGGGCGCCGCCGGGGUGGGGUGGGGGGGCCCCGCCGGCCUCGCUCGCUCGGCCUCGCCCCGGCUCGCUGCGCCUCGCUCGCUGCCCGCCCGCCGCCUCCCCUGCGCGCCCGCUCCGGUCCUCCGACUCCCACUACAGCCUCAUUCCAAUAUGGCAUCCUCUCUGUGCGCAUGCCCGGCACUCUUUUUUAAGAUUAUUAUUUUGUGUGUGUGCAGCGAACUCCUUCAACGACCUUUUCCAGCGCUCGCGGAACGGCUCAAAGCAAUGGGGCUGCGGGACGCUCGCGAGUCCCGGCUGCGCCCCGCGGUGCCGCCCCCGCGCCCGGGCGCACGCCCCCCCCUCCGCAACACACACACACACACACACACACACACACACAGGCACAUUUCACGCUCCCACUGCCCCCUCCUCCUUUCCCUCGGCUCCCUCCAUACACGAUCUGCACAAAGUUCCCAUCACAGGCGUUUCCGCAAGCCCGUCUGCAAGGGGAAUCUGGGCCAACUCCGCAUCUCCCUGGACACUUUGUUCCCCGGGUUUGCGACGCCUCCGAGCACCCAGUGCACAAACUUGCGCUUUAUCCGCCGCAGGCUGGUUGGGAGCGGAGAGAAAGUGCAGCCUCUCCGCCGCCUCCGCCCCGCCCACUGCGCUCUCUCCUCCCCACCCCCGCCCUGGGCACUUAAAAUGGAAUCUUUUCUACGGAGAUUCAGACUUUUCCUGGUCCCGCAGGGAAAGGCUGGAAGGGGCCAGAGAGAGGUUUUUCGAGGAAACGUGCCCCUAG
rnacentral:lncRNA from 12 species